GGUCAAGUGAAUAAGUGCAUACGGUGGAUGCCUAGGCGGUAGAAGGCGAUGAAGGACGUGGUAGUCUGCGAUAAGCCCCGGUUAGCUGACAAACUAGCUUUUACCCGGGGAUUUCCGAAUGGGGAAACCCGCCUGACCACUGAAUGGUCUUGUCGUUCGUUCACGAGACGGCGGAUCACAGGGCGAUUCAGUGGUCAGGCAUUGCUGUCUGAAUUCAUAGGACAGCAAAGCGAACUCGGGGAACUGAAACAUCUAAGUACCCGGAGGAAAAGAAAUCAACCGAGAUUCCCUCAGUAGCGGCGAGCGAACGGGGAACAGCCCUUAAGCUUCUAGCCUGCUAGUAGAAUGCUCUGGAAAGUGCAGCCGAAGACGGUGAUAGCCCGGUAUACGAAAGCUGGCAUGAAGUGAAAUCGAGUAGGACGGGACACGUGAAAUCCUGUCUGAACACGGGGGGACCAUCCUCCAAGGCUAAAUACUCUCUACCGACCGAUAGCGAACCAGUACCGUGAGGGAAAGGUGAAAAGAACCCUGGUAAAGGGAGUGAAAUAGAACCUGAAACCGUAUGCAUACAAGCAGUGGGAGCC
rnacentral:rRNA from 1 species